AUUGAACGCUGGCGGCAGGCUUAACACAUGCAAGUCGAGCGAGCGGCGGACGGGUGAGUAAUGUCUGGGAAACUGCCUGAUGGAGGGGGAUAACUACUGGAAACGGUAGCUAAUACCGCAUACCAUCAGAUGUUCCCAGAUGGGAUUAGCUAGUAGGUGGGGUAAUGGCUCACCUAGGCGACGAUCCCUAGCUGGUCUGAGAGGAUGACCAGCCACACUGGAACGGAAACACGGUCCAGACUCCUACGGGAGGCAGAAGUGGGGAAUAUUGCACAAUGGGCGCAAGCCAGAUACAGACAUGCCGCGGGUGAGAAGAAGGCCUUCGGGUUGUAAAGCACUUUAAGUUGGGAGGCGUUACCAACAGAAUAAGCACCGGCUAACUUCGUGCCAGCAGCCGCGGUAAUAC
rnacentral:rRNA from 1 species